rnacentral:rRNA from 1 species
UACGUAGGGGGCAAGCGUUAUCCGGAUUUAUUGGGCGUAAAGAGCUCGUAGGCGGCUGAUCGCGUCGGUUGUGAAAGCUCAGGGCUCAACCCUGAGACGCCAAUCGAUACGGAUCGGCUAGAGGUAGGUAGGGGAAAGUGGAAUUCCUGGUGUAGCGGUGAAAUGCGCAGAUAUCAGGAGGAACACCAGUGGCGAAGGCGGUUGCCUGGAGCUUUGCUGACGCUGAUGCGGGAAAGCGUGGGGAGCGAUCCGG